CACUCCGCAUGGGUCAAAGGGCCAGCGCAUGCCUUUUAUGCGUUGUCGCCAGCCAUAAUGUGCAGGUCGGACAUGAGGCAAUAAAAGCUUGGCCCACCAACCACAUGGUUCCUACCGCCCUGUCAACGUAGAGCCGUGCUGUUUGAAGUCAUCACAGAUAUAAACUACACGUUGCAGCAACUCUCAAUCGCAUUCCUGCCCGUCAUGUCGAACAGCGUAGCGCUAAUUUCAGUUUGAGGUCUGCACUCUUACUACAAUGCAGAUGGUGACAGCAUCAGGCUGCACUCGGUAAGUUAGUUUGAGACCGGUUCUUUGUGCGGCACUCCGCGAGUGCGAUGCACUCUAUGAGAUGACUCGCAUAAUGCCAGUGCAUUUGAAACAGCUUGCUAUAAGGCCCGCUACUCAUGGGAUAAGUUACUCAUAUAGUUUUGGGGCAGCUGAUGAGUUAUUCCCCCCUCCACAGCAACACGCAUUGCUGAUUUUGGGUACGACUUGAAACCGAUGAGCAGCUCCGACAACUCUAAGGUGUUUGAAGCGGCAGGAGCAGUUCAGGGACACAAUAUUUCCACGUGACCUCCCUUGCAGUAGUGGUGAUGGUGCGUUCAGUAUCAACUCCCUCAGCUCCGAACGGAGUAACUUGACUUGGAGUUCUCAGUGCAUUUUAGAACACCUUCAAAAAAAUCCCAAAGAAAGCUGCUUUUUUUUUUUUUGUGGAUGUCAUGUCUGUUGGAUUUUUCACUAGCCACUGUUGUUAAACUUCCAGAACUCUAUGUGCCGAGAAAUUGAGAGAGAGGUGGGGAUGAGAGUGCAGGAAUGUCAAAACGCAGAGCUCUGAUUGGAGCGAUUAGUGGGUAGACCUAAAGCUAACUGCCUUUGUCUGUACUGCACAUGCAGAACGUCGGUGUCCAGCGUUUCGCAUUCACAUUCGAAUGGGUUUGACGAGUGCAGUGGAGAUAAAGGCAGCCUUUGUUUCUGCUGCACUCGUUGAACAUGUUCGACUGCAGAACGCGGGCAUCCAGUGUUUGGCUCUCGCAUUGAAAUGUCCUCGACGAGUGCAGUGGAGACAAAGGCACCUGGCUUUAGGUGUACCCACCAAUCCUUCUAACCAGAGCUCGGGUGUCCUGACGUCCUUGCGUGCUCUCUUCCACUCUUCUCCCUCAUUUUCUUGGCACAUGCAUCAUGGGCAGAUUUUAAGGAUGGGGGACUAAAGCCCCCAAGGUUAACUUUUUUCAGUGAAAAAUCUACAUAUGCCAGCUUUUGUUAGGA